AGUAUCCAUUUUUUUUUUUUUUUAAAUCUUGACCCUAGAGGACGUCAAAUCCGCCACAAAUAUAAGGAGUCCAUUGUUCACACGGACAAAGUCUUCCAUGUAUUUGCAAGGCGUCGCACAAGUACAAAAUACAACCACACCGUAUAUUCAUACACAUACAAUCACCACAUCACAUACAUCAUUCAUAUUUAUUCCAUUCACAAGGAUAUAGUAUGUUAUUCAUAAAUCUACAUCUAUUAGUUUAAAACAUUUUCCACAUGGAAACUUAUUUUGAAAUACUAAGAUUCAUGAAAACUAGAAAAACUCUUUUUAAAAUUGUUUCCCACACGAAAACCUUUUCCUUUAAAAACACGCUACCACGAGGGGUAGAAAAUCGUUUACAUCUCAUACAAACUAUAAGUACAUUAUUAUUUUCAAAAAUCACAUUUAUCCAAAUAAAGUAAAACCAACUGAACAAUAUUAACUAAGUCA
rnacentral:lncRNA from 1 species